rnacentral:lncRNA from 1 species
GGGUGCCAGCCUACGGCUCGCCUCCCUCCCGCUGCGAAUGUUGGAGCGCACCCCAGAGGUGAGGCAGGUCAGGGUCUCAUGCAGCCUAGACUGGUGUCGAACUUGAUAUGUAACUGAGGAUGACCUUGAAGUCCUGUCUCCACCCUACAAGGCUAUACCUCCGAAAGGUUCCACAACCUCCCAGACUGUGCCACCAGCUGGAGACCAAGUGUUUAAAACAAUGGGGGGCAUUACACGUUCACAGCACAACGCCCAGUUUAUUAUAUUCCCCUUUCUAAGUGUUUGAAAGCAUUCUGCAUUUAGCCUGAUUUCUUGUUAUAAGGAAUUCCUCAGGUAUGGUUUCUCCAAACAGCCCCGUUGCACUCUGCGGUUUGAGUCUGUUCCCUUUUGGUCCAGGGGUUGUGGAGGUUUCUGACUACAGGAUUUGAUUUCCCAAUCCUGUGCCAUUGUUCUGGAUUUAAUAGCAUACAGCUGAGCCUAUUGGUUAUUUUUCCUGCACAUUUGGUUCUCAGGAGGUUUCUUUGUGGCCCAUUGUGGUGUCUGUUUCCUUGAGGUCCUGCCAGGGCUUAAAAGGAAGGUGGCACUAGAUUCUGGCUUGCAGAGCCUGGAUGAACACAGCCACUCAGUUUCCUCCCUAACCUGUAAGCUGUGUGUGCCCUUCUGCCUCUGAAGAAGGGUCAUCUGCUUCACUGUCUGUCUUGCUUUCUGGUCUCUGAGAGGCCUGCAGUGUUAACUGGAAACAGCUGCUUAAGGCCAUGCAGAACCUCAUAGCACCCUCCAUCUGUCCGUAUGUCUGGCUGAGAGGCCACGACUGUCAUUCUGUGGGUGAGGUAUGGUGGGAACACUCUGACUGACCCCUGCCGACCACCCCAGUCACAGGGUUGGAGAAGCUCUGGCUCCCUUCCCAGAGCUGCCAGGAGGAGUGUAGCACAGUGACCCAGCUGAUUUGGUGGUAAUUGUGGUAUGGCAGCCUCGGGGAGCCAGCACACCUUCUGUGGGUGAUUAUCACAUUAGCCUGUUUUCUCUUUCCUCCCAGCACUCGGUUCUAG